rnacentral:rRNA from 1 species
GACGAACGCUGGCGGCGUGCUUAACACAUGCAAGUCGAACGGACAGGCCCUGCUUUUGUGGGGUGCUCGAGUGGCGAACGGGUGAGUAACACGUGAGUAACCUGCCCUUGACUUUGGGAUAACUUCAGGAAACUGGGGCUAAUACCGCAUAGGAGCUCCUGCUGCAUGUGGGGGGUUGGAAAGUUUCGGCGGUUGGGGAUGGACUCGCGGCUUAUCAGCUUGUUGGUGGGGUAGUGGCUUACCAAGGCUUUGACGGGUAGCCGGCCUGAGAGGGUGACCGGCCACAUUGGGACUGAGAUACGGCCCAGACUCCUACGGGAGGCAGCAGUGGGGAAUAUUGCGCAAUGGGCGGAAGCCUGAUGCAGCAACGCCGCGUGCGGGAUGACGGGCUUCGGGUUGUAAACCGCUUUCGCCUGUGACGAAGAGUGAGUGACGGUAAUGGGUAAAGAAGCACCGGCUAACUACGUG